AACGCACGAGACCUGCGGACCUGCGGAGGGAUCAUUACCGAGUUAUCCAACUCCCAACCCCUGUGAAUCAUACCUUUAAUUGUUGCUUCGGCGGGACUUCGCGCCCGCCGGGGACCCAAACCUUCUGAAUUUUUUAAUAAGUAUCUUCUGAGUGGUUAAAAAAAAUGAAUCAAAACUUUCAGCAAUGGAUCUCU
rnacentral:misc_RNA from 1 species